rnacentral:rRNA from 1 species
GACGAACGCUGGCGGCGUGCUUAACACAUGCAAGUCGAACGGAAAGGCCCUGCUUUUGUGGGGUGCUCGAGUGGCGAACGGGUGAGUAACACGUGAGUAACCUGCCCUUGACUUUGGGAUAACUUCAGGAAACUGGGGCUAAUACCGGAUAGGAGCUCCUGCUGCAUGGUGGGGGUUGGAAAGUUUCGGCGGUUGGGGAUGGACUCGCGGCUUAUCAGCUUGUUUGUGGGGUAGUGGCUUACCAAGGCUUUGACGGGUAGCCCGCCUGGGAGGGUGACCGGCCACCUGGGGACUAAGAGACGGCCCAGACGGCUACCGGAGGCAAUAGGGGGGAAUAUUGCCCAAUGGGGCGAAGCCAGAUGCAGCAACGCCGCGUGCGGGAAGACCGGCUUCGGGUGGUAAACCGCUUUCGCCUGUGACGAGCCGGGAGUGACGGUAAUGGGUAAAGAAGCACCGGCUAACUACGUG